GCCGCGUGACGUCACGAGGUAACGGAAAGUUGCCGCUCCGCGCGGGAACUGAAAUCCGAGGCCACGCCCGCUUGAGCUGCUGUACCGCUCUUGUUUUCAGAAGCGACCUGCCCACAACAACAAUAACAAGCUGUCGCUUCCUCUGCAGACUUGGUCUGAUGGAGCAAAGGCACUCGGCGUGGCUCGGUGCAAAAAGGCAACAAUGCGACCGGUGUG